AACGAACGCUGGCGGCAGGCCUAACACAUGCAAGUCGAGCGCCCCGCAAGGGGAGCGGCGGACGGGUGAGUAACGCGUGGGAACGUGCCUCUUGCUACGGAAUAGCCUCGGGAAACUGGGAGUAAUACCGUAUGUGCCCUACGGGGGAAAGAUUUAUCGGCAAGAGAUCGGCCCGCGUUGGAUUAGGUAGUUGGUGGGGUAAUGGCCUACCAAGCCGACGAUCCAUAGCUGGUUUGAGAGGAUGAUCAGCCACACUGGGACUGAGACACGGCCCAGACUCCUACGGGAGGCAGCAGUGGGGAAUCUUAGACAAUGGGCGCAAGCCUGAUCUAGCCAUGCCGCGUGAGCGAUGAAGGCCUUAGGGUUGUAAAGCUCUUUCAGUGGGGAAGAUAAUGACUGUACCCACAGAAGAAGCCCCGGCUAACUCCGCGCCAGCAGCCGCGGUAAUGUACAGUGU
rnacentral:rRNA from 1 species